GUCAUCUUUUGAAAAACACCCUCUGCUUUCUCUUUCUGCCGUGCCUUCCCAUAGUUCAUUAUCAUGGAAUUGAAAGUAGGCAAAGUUGGUUUCUCUUUGGAAUGCAACAGGCUCUUAAAAACCUGCUCCAUCUUAUCAAAAUCUUGUUUCUUUCCAUAAGAGUCAAUCAGCAAAUUAAAUGUAAUAAUAUCAGGUUUACAUUGAU
rnacentral:misc_RNA from 1 species